AAUCAACGCUGGCGGCGUGCCUAACACAUGCAAGUCGAGCGCGAAAAGGGAGCAAUCCCUUAGUAGAGCGGCGGACGGGUGAGUAACACGUGGGCAACCUGCCCUUGGGUGGGGAAUAACUCAGGGAAACUUGGGCUAAUUCCGCAUGAUAUCUCCGGAGCGCAAGCACUGGAGAUCAAAGCUGGGGACCCUUCGGGGCCUGGCGCCUGAGGAGGGGCCCGCGGCCGAUUAGCAGUUGGUGAGGUAACGGCUCACCAAGGCUACGAUCGGUAGCCGGCCUGAGAGGGCGGACGGCCACACUGGGACUGAGACACGGCCCAGACUCCUACGGGAGGCAGCAGUGGGGAAUCUUUGGCAAUGGGGGCAACCCUGACCAAGCAACGCCGCGUGGAGGAUGAAGGCCCUCGGGUCGUAAACUCCUGUCGGACGGGACGAAUGCGGUGAGAGCGAAUAACUCUUGCUGUUGACGGUACCGUACG
rnacentral:rRNA from 1 species